rnacentral:rRNA from 1 species
CCUACGGGAGGCAGCAGUGGGGAAUAUUGCACAAUGGGGGAAACCCUGAUGCAGCGACGCCGCGUGAGUGAAGAAGUAUUUCGGUACGUAAAGCUCUAUCAGCAGGGAAGAAAAUGACGGUACCUGACUAAGAAGCCCCGGCUAACUACGUGCCAGCAGCCGCGGUAAUACGUAGGGGGCAAGCGUUAUCCGGAUUUACUGGGUGUAAAGGGAGCGUAGACGGCAGCGCAGGUCUGGAGUGAAAUCCCAUGGCUUAACCAUGGAACUGCUUUGGAAACUGUGCAGCGAGAGUGCAGGAGAGGUAAGCGGAAGUCCUAGUGUAGCGGUGAAAUGCGUAGAUAUUAGGGGGAAAACCAGUGGCGAAGGCGGCUUACUGGACUGUAACUGACGUUGAGGCUCGAAAGCGUGGGGAGCAAACAGGAUUAGAUACCCGAGUAGUC